rnacentral:rRNA from 1 species
AAUGAGAACUUUGAAGACUGAAGUGGAGAAAGGUUUGACGUGAACAGCAGUUGGACGUCAGUGAGCCGCUCCUAAGAGAUAGGGAAAUUCCGUUCGGAAGCGAGUGGUUUGGCGCCGGCAACGGCGUUGGAACGCUCCGCGCUCGAAAGGGAACACGGUUAAUAUUCCGUGGCCGGGAAGUGAGUGUUGCGGCGACGCAUGCGAGCCUGGGAACGUCGGAGGUAGCCUCGGGGAGAGUUAUCUUUUCUUGUUAACAGAUGUCAUGGGCGUGGAAUCGGUUUACCCGGAGAUACGCCUAUGGUUCUGGUAAAGCACACUGAUUUUCUGUGUGUCCGAUGCGCUACCGACGGCCCGUGAAACCCCAGGUAUCGGAACGUGUGGGCCUUUAGUGCCUGCAGAUUCAUACACCCCCGGGCGUACUCAUAACCGCAUCAGGUCUCCAAGGUGUGCAGCCUCUAGUUGAUAGAAUAAUGUAGAUAAGGGAAGUCGG